GUGACCAGAAACUUCACGUUUAUUUGUCGUCGGUAAAGAGUGUGUUUAUAUUGUGUCCACUGCACCGGGAAUAAAACUAGAGGACCACGGGUCAGCAGGGGAGAUAGAGAGCUGUGUGUGUUACAUCCAGGAGAGGGGUGAGGCUCUCAAGCUACAAGCUAGGAAAAGACCGCUGAUCUCUGGAGAUGCUCUAACAGCUUGAUUUGUAUCAGCUCUCUGGUCUGGUUUUGUGGUUUGUUUGAGUUUAGUUCUUGUUUCAUUCUCACAGUUUUAUUUCUUCUCAGACAUGUCAGGAUAUGUGACAUGUGAUGCACCUGCUGUUAUCUUGCUUAUUCAUUUUCUGCAAAUGAAGCUUUGGUUAAACUCUUUAAAGUUCAUACGGAUUUUUUCAAACUGCACCUGUGAUUUAGUGUCUGUUACCUGUUUAACAAACAGCUGCACAGAAAGAACAAGCUUUAGUCUGAUUUAUACACUGUGUAUUUAUACUGUGUAUCUAUACUAUGUACUGUGUAUUUAUACUGAGUACUGUGUAUUUAUAAUGUGUACUGUGUAUUAAUACUGAGUACUAGGUAUUUAUACUAUAUAUCUAUACUAUGUACUGAGUACUGUGUAUUCAUGAUGUGUACUGUGUAUCAAUACUGAGUACUGUGUAUUCAUACUGUGUAUCUAUACCAUGUACUGUUUAUCUAUACCAUGUACUGUGUAUCUAUACCAUGUACUGUGUAUUUACACUGUGUAUUCAUAAUGUGCACUGUAUAUUAUGCCUGCCCCGAGGCACAUGAACCAUUUCAACUGACAGAAUAAGUUUAUAUAUUUAUUCAUUACUUCCCUCUGUAUUCGGUGAUAUUCUGCUGCAGCGUCUAAGGGGGCAUGUCGGCCGGUGAAAAGACCACGUUGAAAGCUGCUCUCAUGUGUUCUCGCUUCUCAAUCCUCACUGCUCGGAGCACAAAUAAGAGCAGUGGGACGGUCUGUAGGAUAGCACACACUUCCGGUUCAGGAGGGACGGAUAAGAAAAUUGAGAUGCACCUGGAGGCACAACAUGAAAUAAAGAUUGCCCACAGGAGUUGAGUUUUGUGGCAUGGACUAUAACCAUUCAGCUACCAGGGGGCUACAGAAUGUCUGAUAAUACCAAGACCUAUUGGACACAAAUAAAAAAGGGAACUCGGAUAACAGGACUGAAGUCCUGUUUGGAUGUCUUCAUUUGUUUAAUGAAUGCUUAUGAAAGCAGACAAAGCAGACAAAAUGCCCUGUUGCUCUCAUCUUUCUUGAUAUCAAGGCAGACCUUGAUACAGUAUUUCAGAAUCCUUCAAAUAAUUGCUUACAAUGUUAUGUUAAUGUUGUAAACAAUGUUUUGUCUCAUCCAGCUCUCCAGCCAAUCAAAAUGUGGUAAAUGGCUUGUCGUCUGUACUGUUCUCUCACAUAAACAUUCAUUCUUCUAUUACAUGCAUACAGUCUAUUACAUAUUUAACUACUAACUAAUGUACAAUGAACAACAGGUCUCCCGGUAUCGCCUCCACGCUCUUGAGACUGUGCUGGGAGACACAGCAAAACUUUAUGUGUCCGUACAUAUGGAUAUGCCCACUCAAUAGCCGAACCGUUCAUUUGCACCAAAGCAUUCGAUUCACAAUCUCUUGUGCUUCCUAAAUUGAGAGAGAGUGAAAGGCCUCUCAUGUGUUUAUUUGGUGCUGCUGUGAAACACUCUUACAGCUUUAAAAGAGUGAUAUGCCUGCAUACAAUUCAUGUUUAGGUAAUGAAUCACUGUUUAGCACUUUGUCAUAGGGGGAGAUAACACUUGACGCAGUUAUUGAAAAGAAAUGCAGGGACACUUCACGGCUGCUGAUAACACGUACCAUCACUCCAAGUAUGUCAUGAUCUCCUACACUGAAUGAAAAACUAACCUGUGGUACACUGCAGAACUGGGUUACUCACCCAUCGUAUUUGAGAGAAAUAUCGUCUCCCUAUUCACAUUAUUUCAGCAAAAAGACUGAAUAAAUGAAUUUUAAUCACGUGUGUUGAUUUUGCUGUUACCCAAGGAUGUUUUUCAUGUGCUGUGAUAAA